rnacentral:lncRNA from 1 species
CCUGAUUCCUACAAAUUUUAACAAGCGCCACCUUUGAUGGGAGACUCGCAAGCGCUAAUGAGCUUCUUUGCCGACAGGUGGAGAGAGGGCCUCGGACCCACAGUCAGAGGCACAGUCUGCAGGCUGGGGGAGCAGACGCUAUUUAUAAAGCUUCUCUCCGGGGUCGGUCACCGGCGGUCAAAGCCUGGGAGCUCCUCUGCCCGGGCCACUCCCGAUGCUCUGGGUGUACGCGGAGCCACGGUCCCCUCUCCCUUCGCCAGUGCCCUGAGGCGGAUGGAUCCGACGGGAGCGGCCACCGACCAGAACCAAGUGGAACUGCAUUAAAGCGAAGAUGCAAGAAAUGAUUGGGCUUAGCAUUCUUUCUCUGCUUGGCUGGAAGCUUCUCAAGAGCCAGGGGUGAGUCUUUUAUUUCUUCCAUCCUCCCACCUGAUGCCCUGCCCGCCUCUGUUCUCACCAGAGUGGAUGCAGGGCAGGGCAGAAACUUCUGUGAUAGAGCGGGGAGGAGGCCGCCCAGAGGGAAGGUCGGAGCCGGAAAGACGGCCCGUGACCAGGAUGGUGCUGUCUCUUCCCUUUGUUGAGGCUUCCUGGGGUGGCCCGCCAGGUAGGUGGGGCGGGGGCUGGGGCGCUGUGUUAAGUGCAAUUUUUACAUUCUCCCAAGGGGAACUUCUUCCCUCCUGAUGUGGAAUUGUAUGCUUAAACUUGCUCGGUGACCUUUGGGAUACCAUCAGCCAGCCAGUUAAGAACCUAGGAAAAGGCCCUUGGUCUGAUUCGACUGUGGUCCCUGCUGAUUUGACCAUGUGCCCAGAUUACUGUAUAUAGUUGAUGGCAAUGAGGUUUGAUGAAUAUUCAUGUUUGUUGAAGGCCUGUAAUUUCUGUCUGCAUAUUAGCUUUUAAUGUGGAAGGGUUGAACGACAUUGAGGCGUUCCCACUGUUGUGCAGCAGGACAGGCAGGCGGUGUUUGGGUUGUGCUGGGACACAGGUUCAAUCCCCGGCCUGGCACAGCAGGUUUAGGAUCUGGUGUUGCCCCGCCCCUGUGGCUUAGGUCACAACCAUGGCUCGGAUCUGAUCCCCCCUGGCCUGGGAACUCCACGUGCUGCUGGGCAGCCAAAAAAGGAAAAAACAAACAAACAAAAAAAAAAAAAAAAAAAAAAAGAGAGACACUACAUUGACAUCUGUUAAAAAAAUAAAAAUCAAAAUACUGCUUUUUAAGACA